rnacentral:lncRNA from 1 species
GAUCUUACAGCUGACAGGAGAGGUCUGAACCUCCAAGGCAAGAUCUGGCUGGCUUGACUUCAGGGUUAAGAGCUGUGUUUGCUCCUGUAAAACACAGACAGGAAGUCAGGUACUCUAAAUAUCUUAAGCAAUCAUUUGUGGCUUUGAUAGAGUGACCAUACCCAUGCUCGGAGAUGUGGAGAAUACAGAAACAGGUAUCCGGCAGAAGACGUCCACAAUUCAUCACUCAGGAGCUGGGAAGAUGGACCCCAUAGAGUUCGGUCAAAGCAACGAAGGUCAGAUGGAGGAGGUUCCCAAACAGCAACCAAAUUCCCAACCUCAGGGGAAACUCUACCGUCUGCAUAUGGUCACAGUUGUCCCA